CUUUCUUUGCUGGCGACCGGCGCACGGGUGAGUAACACGUAUCCAACCUGCCCUUUACUCGGGGAUAGCCUUUCGAAAGAAAGAUUAAUACCCGAUAGCAUAAUGAUUCCGCAUGGUUUCAUUAUUAAAGGAUUCCGGUAAAGGAUGGGGAUGCGUUCCAUUAGGCAGUUGGUGAGGUAACGGCUCACCAAACCUUCGAUGGAUAGGGGUUCUGAGAGGAAGGUCCCCCACAUUGGAACUGAGACACGGUCCAA
rnacentral:rRNA from 1 species